UUAACCAUUUUCAAUUGACUG
rnacentral:piRNA from 1 species